CGCGGCCUAUCAGCUUGUUGGUGAGGUAAAGGCUCACCAAGGCAUUGACGGGUAGCUGGUCUGAGAGGACGAUCAGCCACACUGGGACUGAGACACGGCCCAGACUCCUGCGGGAGGCAGCAGUGGGGAAUCUUGCGCAAUGGGCGAAAGCCUGACGCAGCAAUGCCGCGUGGGGGAUGAAGGCUCUCGGGUUGUAAACCCCUUUCAGCAGGGACGAAAUUGACGGUACCUGUAGAAGAAGCCCCGGCCAACUACGUGCCAGCAGCCGCGGUAACACGUAGGGGGCGAGCGUUGUCCGGAAUUAUUGGGCGUAAAGGGCUCGUAGGCGGUUCGGUAAGUCAGAUGUGAAAGGUUGGGGCUCAACCCUAAGACUGCAUUUGAUACUGCCGUGACUAGAGUCCGGUAGAGGAGUGUGGAAUUCCUGGUGUAGCGGUGAAAUGCGCAGAUAUCAGGAGGAACACCGACGGCGAAGGCAGCACUCUGGGCCGGUACUGACGCUGAGGAGCGAAAGCGUGGGUAGCAAACAGGAUUAGAUACCCUGGUAGUCCACGCCGUAAACGUUGGGCACUAGGUGUGGGACCUUAUCAACGGGUUCCGUGCCGUAGCUAACGCAUUAAGUGCCCCGCCUGGGGAGUACGG
rnacentral:rRNA from 1 species